rnacentral:rRNA from 1 species
GAACUGCAGGACACAUGAACACCGACAAGUUGAACGCAUAUUGCACCUCGUACAACAGUACGAGGUACACAUUUUUGAGUGCCUAUAUUUAUCUAUUCAACUAUACGUGCAUGCGCGUUUCACUUCGGGUGGACAGGCGCAUGGCCCAGGAAGCACGUAUGCGUAGUGACGUUUUCCCGCCUUCGGUGCGCGGUAAAACGUUCAAGAUAGUCAGGCGCGUCCCACGACGUGGUUGAUGAAUACAUCCCAUACACCCACACCAGAGGUUAUGUUGUAUUCCAUCACACCGGAUCACCGGAUCCACCAUUCCAUUCCAUUCCAGUAGGCCUCAAAUAAUGUGUGACUACCCCCUGAAUUUAA